rnacentral:rRNA from 1 species
AUGGCGUCGUCGGCGCUUCGCUGCCUUCCAGGCGACAUCCCGCCGACGACGCUGCUCACCCUACCAAACGAGAUGCUCGAGGAAAUCCUCCUCUGCCUCUCCGACGCCGGCGACCUCGUCCGCGCCUCCAUGGCCCGAGUCUCCAUCCGCCGCCUCGUCACGAAUCACCGCUUCCUCCGCCGGUUCCGCACUCGCUACCCGCCGUCUCUACUGGGCAUCGUCUCUCCCCUUCCCCGGCCCCGCUGGGACCGGCCGCUGCUGCAACUGGCCCAGCCGCCGCACCCCUCCGCGGCCGCCGCGGCCGCUUUCUCCGGGCUUGACGACGCCGCCGCCGCCGACUUCUCAUGCGCCUUCCUCCCCAACCCCGCGCGCUGGCGUAGGCGCGACUUGCGGGACGGCCGCGCCCUCUUUUCCGGCGUCCCAGAGGGCACCAAUUUCGACUGCCACGUCUUUGUCAGGGACCUGGCUGUCUGUGACCCCCUGUCCCGGCGCUACAUCCUGCUACCUUCCAUCCCCGACGACCUAGCCGCCUUGGUGCAGCCACCCGACGUGCUGCGUUUCGAGCCCUUCCUUGCUCCUCCGGCGGCCGAGGAUGAGGACGGCUUGUCUUUCAGAGUUAUUUGCUUGGUGCAGUGCAAAACCAAGCUGGUCCUCCUCAUCUUCUCUUCAGGUUCAGGUGCUGAACAAUGGCGUGCUGUUACAUUUGACAAUUGGAUCAGUUUGCUCACAGGAUCAGGUAACCAGCCAGAGUCAUACCGGCGGUCAGUAAUACGCCACUAUGCACACGGCUACUUCUGUUGGGUGCUUUCUCCGGCAAGCAAGUUGCUCAUGCUCGACACACGCAGCAUGGGUUUCUCAGUUGUGGACCUCCCAGAUGGCACCGGUGAAAAUGAAGCACAGGUUGCCAUUUUGGAGGCAGCGAAUGGAAGGAUUAAGAUGUUUAUUAAUGAGCAUUUCACAACUGAACUCAGGUAUUAUGUGUUGCAAAAUGAUGGAGUUGGUGCAAACCAGUGGCUGUCAGAGGCAACGUUCAAUUUACCCGUAAAUAAUGGCGGCUAUAUAUUCAUGGGCGUAGCGGGGGGAUACUUACUCCUACAAGGGCUUGGAGAAGACGACCAAUAUCCAUUCCAUUUGGUUUCGUUGAAUCUGAAGACUUUACAGCUUGAGUUGUUCCUUGCAUCAAAGCGCAAUAACAAGGGUGCUCAUCUGUUUGCCGGUUUCCCACCAUCCUUGUCUUUACCAACUCUUCGACAUGAUAUCUGA